rnacentral:rRNA from 1 species
AGCGAGAAAGCCCUUCGGGGUGAGUAUAGCGGCGGACGGGUGAGUAACGCGUAGGAAUCUACCUGGUAGUGGGGGACAACAUGUGGAAACGCAUGCUAAUACCGCAUACGCCCUACGGGGGAAAGCGGGGGACCUUCGGGCCUCGUGCUAUCAGAUGAGCCUGCGUAAGAUUAGCUAGUUGGUGGGGUAAAGGCUCACCAAGGCGACGAUCUUUAGCUGGUCUGAGAGGAUGAUCAGCCACACUGGGACUGAGACACGGCCCAGACUCCUACGGGAGGCAGCAGUGGGGAAUAUUGCGCAAUGGGCGAAAGCCUGACGCAGCCAUGCCGCGUGUGUGAAGAAGGCCUUAGGGUUGUAAAGCACUUUCAAUUGGGAGGAAAGGUUAUGCGUUAAUAGCGUAUAACUGUGACGUUACCUUUAGAAGAAGCACCGGCUAACUCCGUGCCAGCAGCCGCGGUAAUACGGAGGGUGCGAGCGUUAAUCGGAAUUACUGGGCGUAAAGCGCGCGUAGGCGGUUUAUUAAGUCGGAUGUGAAAGCCCCGGGCUCAACCUGGGAACUGCAUCCGAUACUGGUCGACUAGAGUACGAGAGAGGGAGGUAGAAUUCCACGUGUAGCGGUGAAAUGCGUAGAUAUGUGGAGGAAUACCG